UUAAUUGAAGCCAAAAAGAGGCCUUUCAUUGUUAAUGAAAUAAUUGAUUGUAUAAAUCCAAUUAAA
rnacentral:tRNA from 1 species